rnacentral:rRNA from 1 species
UACGUAGGUGGCAAGCGUUGUCCGGAUUUACUGGGCGUAAAGAGCGCGCAGGCGGUCGUUCAAGUCGCGUGUGAAAGCCCCCCGGCUCAACUGGGGAGGGUCACGCGAUACUGAUCGACUCGAAGGCAGGAGAGGGAAGUGGAAUUCCCGGUGUAGUGGUGAAAUGCGUAGAUAUCGGGAGGAACACCAGUGGCGAAGGCGACUUCCUGGCCUGUUCUUGACGCUGAGGAGCGAAAAGCAUGGGGAGCGAACAGG